rnacentral:rRNA from 1 species
GUCUACGGCCAUACCACCCUGAACGUGCCCGAUCUCAUCUGAUCUCGGAAGCUAAGCAGGGUCGGGCCUGGUUAGUACUUGGAUGGGAGAAGUGGCCUAUUCAGAGAGGAGUGGUACCCUAACCU